CCUACGGGUGGCAGCAGUGGGGAAUAUUGCGCAAUGGGCGAAAGCCUGACGCAGCGACGCCGCGUGAGGGAUGAAGGUCUUCGGAUCGUAAACCUCUGUCAGUAGGGAAGAACGGUCAAUGUGCUAAUCAGCAGUGAAUUGACGGUACCUGCAAAGGAAGCUCCGGCUAACUCCGUGCCAGCAGCCGCGGUAAGACGGAGGGUGCGAGCGUUAAUCGGAAUUACUGGGCGUAAAGCGCACGUAGGUGGUAGGUCAAGUCAAGGGUGAAAUCCCCGCGCUCAACGUGGGAACUGCCUUUGAAACUGGCAAACUGGCGUGUGUGCGAGGAUAGUGGAAUUCCAUGUGUAGCGG
rnacentral:rRNA from 1 species